GCCGGAUUAGCUGAGAGGUGGUGCAUGGCCGUCGUCAGCUCGUACUGUGAAGCAUCCUGUUAAGUCAGGCAACGAGCGAGACCCACGCCCCACAGUUUGCCAGCGUACUCUCUGGAGUGACGGGUACACUGUGGGGGACCGCCGCUGCUAAAGCGGAGGAAGGAAUGGGCAACGGUAGGUCAGUAUGCCCCGAAUAUCCCGGGCUACACGCGAGCUACAAUGGUUGGUACAAUGGGUAUCUACCCCGAAAGGGGACGGGAAUCUCCUAAACCAAUCUUAGUUCGGAUUGAGGGCUGCAACUCGCCCUCAUGAAGCUGGAAUCCGUAGUAAUCGCGUUUCAACAGAACGCGGUGAAUACGUCCCUGCUCCUU
rnacentral:rRNA from 1 species